CUCUUGUUACCCAGGCUGGAGAGCAAUGGCGCGAUCUCGGCUCACCGCAACCUCCGCCUCCUGGGUUCAGGCAAUUCUCCUGCCUCAGCCUCCUGAGCAGCUGGGAUCAUGUUGACCAGGAUGGUCUCGAUCUCUUGACCUCGUGAUCCACUCGCCUCGGCCUCCCAAAGUGCUGGGUUUACAGGUUUGAGCCACCGCCUGUAUGCUUAUUAAACAGAAAAAAAUGUUUCUUGUUCUUCCCCUUCUAAUGGGUAGCUCCCUCACCCUCUCUUCUGCAUUCUCUCUCUGUGUCUCAUAGCUUUUUUCUGCUGCACAUUUUCAGCUUUCAAAUGCGUCAGCUUCUUCCUGACUCCAGCUCAUGCAAUGCCUCUCGGCUGCUCUUGGGACGUCUUUUCAGUUCCUGCUGACUUUUCUGCCAUUAGCAGUGCAGAGUUCAUGUAUAUCAGAGCCUAGCUCCUUUCAUUGGCCAGGGGUCUUGGAUAAGGUGGGGGUUCCUCCCACGCUGAAAGUCCCCUUCUUCCACACCCCUUCGGACUCCAUGGUUGGACCCCCUUCCACGAACACUCCCUUCAUGGAAGCCUGUCUUCCCCUCCCAAACUCCAUCUCUAUUCCCUUACACUCAGUGUGGAAGCUGCUUUCCUCUCCUGGAUUCCCAUCUUUCUGGAUUCUCUCACUCAGCGUGAGAGUUAGCUGUUUCUCUCUUUCUCUGAAUAAAUCACUUUACACAAGCACUUCGGAGUCCGGCAUUUACUGCGCACUAUGCUGUGGUCCCCUCUUUCAUUCUUGAGAGGGCAGGAGGCCAAGAACCUAGAGAAACAUCCUCUCAGGGGAGCUGAGGGCACCCUGAACCCCAAUAUUACAUUCUGGCGAGUCAGCCAGGAAAGGGGUACACCAGAAAGGGGGGUACAUUCAGGAAAUGGGCACACCAGAAGGGGGUACAGCCAGAGAAGACUUCAAAAUCGUGAGUAAACCCAGCCCCAUUCUGUCCUGUCUCUUUAAGAACACCUGAAGCGGCCGCAGCCAGGCAGGGCUGUGGGGAACCGGAGCAGCUGCGGCCCAGCCUGUCUUAAGUGGCUCGGGCCAGGGGCAAUUAAAAGCGGAGUGUUUUUUUUUUUUUUUUACCUCCAUGCUCUCUGCUUUCCCUCUCCUUCUCUAGCCUUUGGAUAUUAUCUCUGGGACCAGAACCUGCGGGAGCCUGUGGGGCGGAGCCUGCGAGCACUGCCCCCAGCGCCGUUUGCUCCUUGCUGGCCUGCGGGAACAACCUCGCUCCGGGAGAGCGCAGCGCUCAGCGGAGAAAACAGCGGGAGAGGCCAGGUACAGCCCGAGCCUGCAGGGUACCGGGAGCACAGCGGCCUGGCACGUGGUUCUGGAACUGAAGUGGAGAGACGCGUGAUGCUAUCCUCAGAAUUACAGAAACAGACAUUUUCUCCAAGUUAUUCAGGAAUCAAGGGUGUCCAGGGAAGGCCAACCAUAGAGAACAUUCAAAGCAAAGUGAAACAUAAACCAUUAUGCCAGAAGACCUGGAUGUGUUCUUAUCCAAGCUGCUCAAUCAUUCAGUUAUUCUGGGCAAGUUACCCACUGAGCUCACCGCCUUCAUCUGCAAAAUGAAGAUGGAGUCUCGCUCUGUCGCCUGGGCUGGAGUACAGUGGUGUGAUCUCGGCUCACUGCAGCCUUCACCUCCUGUCUUCAAGCAAUUUUCAUGACUUAGCCUCCUGAGUAGCUGGGACUACAGGCACCAGACUGGUCUUGAACUCCUGAUCUCAGGUGAUCUGCCUACCUCAGCCUCCCAAAGUGCUGGAAUUAUAGGUGUGAGCUGCCAUGCCCAGCUGCGCCCAGUUGGCCCUCCUUCUUUAAAGCAUCCUCUCAUCAUUCAUUCAUUCAUUCAUUCUACAAGCAUCUAUUAUCUAACAUGUUUGUUUCUAAUGUUGUUUCUAGUCUUCACCUGCUUGUUAUCUAAAAGGCUCAACUCAUUUUAUAGUCUGUAAAAUGUGUAUAAUAAAAGGGACUCCAGCUGAGCCCAAAAGUAAUUAAAAACUCGGGAACUCCCACAUGUAACUGAGGGCCAAGCCAGUCAUACCUGGAGUAGGUGAGAUUUGUGGUUCUUAAAAGAGAUGGAGACAAUAGCUGCAAGGAUUCUGUACAGGGUCGGUGUAGACAGCAAGU